GGGUGAGUAACACGUAAGUAAUCUGCCCCUAAGUGGAGGAUAACUCUGAGAAAUCGGAGCUAAUACUGCAUGUGGUGGUGGGGGUAAGGCUCCAUCACUAAAGCCUUCGGGUGCUUGGGGAGGGGCUUGCGUCCGAUUAGCUAGUUGGUAAGGUAACGACCUACCAAGGCGACGAUCGGUAGCUGGUCUGAGAGGAUGAUCAGCCACACUGGGACUGAGACACGGCCCAGACUCCUACGGGAGGCAGCAGCAAGGGAUAUUGUGCAAUGGGCGAAAGCCUGACACAGCGACGCCGCGUGGGGGAAGAAGGCCUUCGGGUUGUAAACCUCUUUUCUCAGGGAAGAAUAAUGACGGUACCUGAGGAAUAAGUCUCGGCUAACUACGUGCCAGCAGCCGCGGUAAUACGUAGGAGGCAAGCGUUAUCCGGAUUUAUUGGGCGUAAAGAGGCGUAGGUGGCUCUUCAAGUCGGAUGUAAAAUCUCCUGGCUCAACUGGGAGGGAUCAUUCGAUACUGCUGGGCUAGAGUGCAGUAGAGGGAGGUGGAAUUCCCGGUGUAGUGGUGAAAUGCGUAGAUAUCGGGAGGAACACCAGUGGCGAAGGCGGCCUCCUGGGCUGCUACUGACGCUGAGGCCCGAAAGCGUGGGGAGCGAACAGGAUUAGAUACCCUGGUAGUCCACGCCGUAAACGAUGGACACUAGGUAUGGGGAGUAUCGACCCUCUCCGUGCCGAAGC
rnacentral:rRNA from 1 species